AGAGAACGUUAACUUAAAAAUACCCAAAAUACCUACCUUAAAUGCAAAUAAUUAUUCAGGUCCAUUUCCUCUUCAGAGAUCGCCAACGGAGUAUAAUGCCAUUUAACCAAUCAGAGUUGAGCUUUGCCAUAUUCAAAUUCAUAUCUUCCGGUGAUGCGAAAACGUCAGACUACUGAGCUGUUCCUAACGUGUGUAGCAUAAGUGUAGUGUGCUAUAGCUGAGAGGAAGCUAAAAAAUAAUGGUAUUUCCCAAAUUCGGGCUGUUUUAUUUCCCCGAUACAAAGUUGGUGAGAGUGGACAGUACGAACAUAAUAAGAUGCGAACACGGGAGGGAAGAAUAUAGCCUCUCGACAGCAACUUGAUAGUGAAGAUGGCUAUGUUGAAGUGUGUUUGCCUAGUCGCAGCAGACACGGAGAAGCUAAGACACUGGCGGCAAAAAUACUCUUUCUUGGAGAGAACUUUAAGGAAGUUGCAGAAAAAAACAGCUUUCCUCAGAAAUGAAGACAUCUGGCACAGCAGCAGCACCACAGCAGCUGUGAGGAGAGUCUGCAGAGUGUACAGUGACACAAGAUGAAGACAGACCGAAGAAAAAGAAAAAACAUGUGACAGGACGUCACAUAAUUUCUUCAGACAAUGAUGAGACUGACAUAGAUUCAGCACAAGCCUUUGGAACGAAGAAACCAAAAAUGAUGAAGGCUGCAAAUGAGAGGGUUCUUUCGCAGCUUAAGUCUUCUCUGCUGAAAAAAGGCAAAGGACAUCCACCCCCUCACAAAGUGAGGAAGAUGAUGUAGACAUAGACACCAAUAUAGACCUUUUUGAUUCACCCCAAGCUUCUGGAACAGCUGACCCCUGCUUUAGGCAAAAGGAAAUGGAGUGUGGCCCGAUGAAUCAGGCACUAGAAAACAUAGACAGGCACCAGGAAGUGAUAGAUGCAUUAAAAGAAAUACCCACCCUUAUCAAUUGUGUUAAGGAACUAACAACCACUAUGAAGCGUUUGCUACCUUCCUUCGACAGUGAUACAAGUUCAGGGUCCUCCAGUCCUGCUCCAGAAAUGGUUUCCUUGGGCAACUCAGCAGUUAUGGUGAACUGAAGAUGUUUUAAAAGAUUGAACAGAACAAGGAUGUCCCUUUUUGCCCAGGAUUUAGCUGUUCUACUCUUUGGUCGCAACAUUUUAGCUUCCUCAAGCCUUACAGGCAAUGGAACGGAAAAGGAUCCCUUAGAUUCUGAAAAGUUGAAUGCUCUUGUUGAUACAGUAAUAUCUGAGUUCCCAGGAACAAGUGUGUCUGAAGUGAGAGCUGUCAUAAGACGAAAGGGCAACAAUGAAAAUUUUGUUUCAAAGAAGAAGAUGUAGGUUUGAUUGUGAUUUUGUGUUUUGUUUUCACUCACACACACACACACACGUGUGUGCAAGGGCAGUGUGCACCAGGGUUUACAUGGAUGUUAGGCAUGUUACUUUAGGCUGUAAGUUGCAUAAUUUUAUUUAUUUAAUUAUUUAUUUUACAUGUUUCUACCUCAAAUAAAUGUUUGAAAUGGUUUGAUUUUGCCAAUGAAUGCAAGAAAAACUUGAUAUAUUUUUGAAAAUAUCUAUAUAUUUUUGUUUGCCCAUUAUUUUCCAACUAAUGGGCCUUGCCAAAUUUUCCCUUUGUCAUUUGCUGUUGUUCUUUAGUCAGUAGAGGCACAAUGAAAGUGUGUAAGAUCAUUUUGAUUGUGUUCAUUAGCGAUUGUUAAAGAAUUUACUGAAGUAAGAGUUUAAGAAUGUUUUAAACAGUCUAAAGGUUUUUCUGUUUAGUGAUAAAUAUACUUAAAACAUGCUGUUUUGUUACACUGAUAAAGCAUUUAGUUU